rnacentral:lncRNA from 1 species
CGGCUCCGCGACUGGGGGGAGCCGCAGGCACCGGUGCUUCCCCGGCCCGCAUCAUGGUCCUGUCGUGAACGCUUAAAAUAGUGCCUCGAGGGAUCCCAAAACCGCACGUAGACUAGAUUUUUGCCAGAACGUUGUUAUGAUGUUAUCGUUAUCAAAAACAUCUGAAAUACGUCCCCAGGAGGGUUUUCUCUCUGUUAUCUAAGAUUUGCAUUUUGAGGCACUGGUUAAUGACAUGCAAGAGGUCCCUCUAAGGUAUGAACAGAAUCCAGUGAAGUAUGGAUGUAUAUCCAAGGUGGUAGAAGAAGGACAGCAUGUCAGAGAGGUCUGUCUGGUCCAGCUGUACUUCUGCCUCUGGGCUAAAUUGGAAAAUAAGAAGAUAAUUGAGUAAAAGUCUUCUUAAGAAAUGUCUAUGAUUACUAGAUUAUUAGGGGAUAGUUUUACCAUCACUGACAAAAUUCAGACACUCAAGACAGCUCCAUAUCCAAUCCUAUUUUCUGUACUUUUGAUAUUACAAAAACCAUCAAAGUCUUUAUAGGUGCUGCUGUAAUGUUACAUCUACUCACCUUGAAAUAAAAGGUCCUAGUACUACA